CGCAAUCAUGAGAGUUUGAUCCUGGCUCAGGAUAAACGCUAGCUGUGUGCUUAAUACAUGCAUGUUGAACGGAAUAUUUUAGUUCGCUAAAAUAUUUAGUAGCAAAUGGGUGAGUAACACGUACCUAACCUACCUUUUGGACUGGGAUAACCAUUGGAAACAGUGGCUAAUACCAGAUAUGAUAAAAAUUUGCAUGAAUUUUUAUUCGAAGGAGCCUUCGAAGCUUCGCC
rnacentral:rRNA from 1 species